rnacentral:rRNA from 1 species
GACGAACGCUGGCGGCGUGCCUAAUACAUGCAAGUAGAACGCACAGUUUAUACCGUAGCUUGCUACACAAUAGACUGUGAGUUGCGAACGGGUGAGUAACGCGUAGGUAACCUGCCUGGUAGCGGGGGAUAACUAUUGGAAACGAUAGCUAAUACAGCAUAAUAUUGAUUAUUGCAUGAUAAUUGAUUGAAAGAUGCUAUUGCAUCACUACCAGAUGGACCUGCGUUGUAUUAGCUAGUAGGUGAGGUAACGGCUCACCUAGGGGACGAUACAUAGCCGACCUGGGAGGGGGAACGGCCACACUGGGGACGGAGAACGGCCCAGGCCUCUUCGGGAGGGAACAGGAAGGGAUUCUCGGCAAUGGGAGAAAGGCUGACCGGACAACGGCGGGGGGGUUGAGGAGGGUUUCGGGUCGUAAAGCUUUGUUUGUAGGGGAGAACGGAGGUGGUUGGUGAAAGUUCACACUGUGACGGUAUCUAACCAGAAAGGGACGGCUAACUACGUG